rnacentral:rRNA from 1 species
UGGGGAAUUUUGGACAAUGGGGGAAACCCUGAUCCAGCAAUGCCGCGUGAGUGAAGAAGGCCUUCGGGUUGUAAAGCUCUUUUGUCAGGGAAGAAACACCGGCUCUAACACAGUCCGGGAAUGACGGUACCCUGAAGAAUAAGCACCGGCUAACUACGUG